GCUUAACACAUGCAAGUCGAACGGUGAACACGGAGCUUGCUCUGUGGGAUCAGUGGCGAACGGGUGAGUAACACGUGAGCAACCUGCCCCUGACUCUGGGAUAAGCGCUGGAAACGGCGUCUAAUACUGGAUAUGUGACGUGACCGCAUGGUCUGCGUUUGGAAAGAAUUUCGGUUGGGGAUGGGCUCGCGGCCUAUCAGCUUGUUGGUGAGGUAAUGGCUCACCAAGGCGUCGACGGGUAGCCGGCCUGAGAGGGUGACCGGCCACACUGGGACUGAGACACGGCCCAGACUCCUACGGGAGGCAGCAGUGGGGAAUAUUGCACAAUGGGCGCAAGCCUGAUGCAGCAACGCCGCGUGAGGGAUGACGGCCUUCGGGUUGUAAACCUCUUUUAGCAGGGAAGAAGCGAAAGUGACGGUACCUGCAGAAAAAGCGCCGGCUAACUACGUGCCAGCAGCCGCGGUAAUACGUAGGGCGCAAGCGUUAUCCGGAAUUAUUGGGCGUAAAGAGCUCGUAGGCGGUUUGUCGCGUCUGCUGUGAAAUCCGGAGGCUCAACCUCCGGCCUGCAGUGGGUACGGGCAGACUAGAGUGCGGUAGGGGAGAUUGGAAUUCCUGGUGUAGCGGUGGAAUGCGCAGAUAUCAGGAGGAACACCGAUGGCGAAGGCAGAUCUCUGGGCCGUAACUGACGCUGAGGAGCGAAAGGGUGGGGAGCAAACAGGCUUAGAUACCCUGGUAGUCCACCCCGUAAACGUUGGGAACUAGUUGUGGGGUCCAUUCC
rnacentral:rRNA from 1 species